AAAAUUGCAUUAAAUGCAAAUUUUAUGCUGCUAAUUGACAGGCGCAACACUGAAUAUAGCAGGAUUGCAUUAAUUGCAAGCUGAAUAGCAGCUGCUACCAUACAAAGUGCAGGGGGGCGCAAAGCUGGAAAUAGCCGAACUUCAUUAAUUGCAAGUUGACUAGCAGAAUACAUGAAGUACAGCAAGGAGACUUAGUCAUAUGGGCUGCAUAGCCAAUAGGGCGCAUAAUUAAGUUAGAUUUAAGUAGAUUUAAAUUUGAAUUUUAGGCGCAAGCGCCGUCAGAUAUGUUCGCUGCACAUAUACAUAUAUGUGCCGAAAAUAAACUUUUGUAUUGUAGCCGAGA
rnacentral:sRNA from 1 species